UACGAAGGGGGCUAGCGUUGCUCGGAAUCACUGGGCGUAAAGCGCACGUAGGCGGAUUGUUAAGUCAGGGGUGAAAUCCUGGAGCUCAACUCCAGAACUGCCUUUGAUACUGGCGAUCUUGAGUCCGGGAGAGGUGAGUGGAACUGCGAGUGUAGAGGUGAAAAUUCGUAGAUAUUCGCAAGAACACCAAGUGGCGAAGGCGGACUCACUGGCCCGGUACUGACGCUGACGGUG
rnacentral:rRNA from 1 species